UAGAACAAUUUUUUGUUUCACUGAUUUCUCAGUUUAUUUAUCUGCAAACUGCAGUCUGGCUCUUCCCUGCCUCUCAGAAUGUCGCUUCCACCUUUUACCUGGCUGGUUUCUGGUCGUUCCCAGUGCCUCCUGCUUCACCUUAUUUUUGUGUACUGCUGUCUUAAGAAUUUUGAACCUGAAAGCAUCCUGCUGCUCAGCGUAGUCUUCUGCAGGCAGAACCACAAUUAACCCAUGAUUUAAAAAUGCAGAUUUGUUUAAAAAUAUAGAGUGGUCUCUUAAUUUUUUGCAUGGCUGUAUAUAUGUAUAUCUCAAAAGGAAUGCACUUUAAUUGAUAAUCUACUCAUAAAUGCUACACCCAGGUCAAUAACCAUAUCAACCUACUAGACGGUAGAUUACUAAUAUUCCUGUCAAUUUCCUGGCAAAUUAAAAAACACAUUCAACAUUCCUGAAGUUAAAAAAGCUUUUUUACAUGUUGACAUUUGGAGACAGCUUAGAGAGUUUGCAAAUGCUACCGAAGUAUCUUAAUUUGUUUCUUUGGCUCAUUUUAAUCCAUUCCAUGAUUUUAUCAAUUAACCAUGUUUACGAUCAAGCAGUGUGAAAAGGUACCUGUGGCCAUGAUUUGUCUCCAAAACACAAGACGACCUGGGAAUCCGCUGUUAAUGCUUAAUGAGGGCAACAAGGCUUUGGACCAUCCAGCUAAAUGCGAAAUAAGCCGAGGAACCUACAUGCCCUCGACUGGACCUGUGGUCGACAACAUCGCCUGGUGCCAGGAAUCCGUUGAGCAAGAGAGGAAUAUACAGAGUGCACCAGCUUGGGAGCACAGGGAGAUGUUGAAACCUUUUCCAGAAAUGAUACCUGCUAAUCCAGUCAUUGCAACCUGGGAUGAUAGGUCAUGUGACCCUUACAUUGAAGAGUGGCAACCCCCCGCAUGUGUCUCAUCCACCAAGAUUAAAACAGCAGGCGUGCUGACACAUCCUGACAUGUGGAUUCAUAUGCACAAUGCUAAUCAUACGACAAAGCCCAGCUCGGAGUAUAAACCAUCGUUUCUGACAGUGGGGACAGAAGGAAAUUCACCCCCUCGAGGGCAUUGGUCUUACCCCUGGCAUGAGUCUGUACUGCAGAACCAACCCGCUAGGGACGUGUGGGGUAGCUGGAGAAAUGUGGUCCCCCACAAUGGAGGCCUGACCUACCAAAGCCACCUGAGACCAUAUGAUUUCAGGUCCUCUUAUUCACUACAGCUCCCUCAACAAGUUGUCCCACUGGGAAGCUCACAAGUGCCCACCCCCCACUGGCCAUCUCUGCCAUUCCUAAGCACUCCCCAGCCAGACCGGCUUUCAGACCCCCCCAUGGUGGUAGACCCCCCUCUUCUUUACUGGAAUCACCUGACCUUCACCUCCACCAGUCCAGCAGUAACUUCUAGAGCACUCCAUCAGAUUCAGUGCAAAGAUUACCUGGCAAAGUGAGUACUACAUCUGCCUGCAUUUAUUAUCUAUGCUUGGCUUCACAUAGCUGUUAAAGUAAAGUAACCCACUGAGCCACACACACACACACACACACACAUUUCACAGACACCUUUGUUCAAGGUGACAUACAAGUGAGGCCAAUAGCAAAUUGCAAACAAUUCAUGCUGCCAAGGAGUUGACUAAGCAUAAGUGCAGCUAGACAGAGCUUUCAGCGAAUGUCCAGGUACAAGUGUAAGCAGCAUUGGAGCAGGAGCUGAACAACAACUUUUAACAAACCAAGUAAGACUACCGAAGGAGCAGAAGUGCAACAUAAGAACAUUCAGGUAACAUAAGGAGGCAUCAAAGAGUUUUGAUGAAUAUUACGGUACAUUUUUUAAUAACGUAGUAAAUUAAGAUGUUACCACCAAUGUAUAAAAAUGUGAUUAAUGAAUUUUGAGAGUUUGUAGUCUGUUUGUUUUAUAGUAAUAAAGUUCAAUACAUUCAAUAAAA